CCUUAACCUGCUAAAUAGCCCGGCCGGCCCCGGCCGGCCGCCGGCUUCUUAGAGGGACUGUCGGCUCAAGCCGACGGAAGUUUGAGGCAAUAACAGGUCUGUGAUGCCCUUAGAUGUCCGGGGCCGCACGCGCGCUACACUGACGGAGCCAGCGAGUUCCCCCCUUGGCCGAGAGGCCCGGGUAAUCUUGUCAGCCUCCGUCGUGCUGGGGAUAGAGCAUUGCAAUUAUCGCUCUUCAACGAGGAAUGCCUAGUAGGCGCGCGUCAUCAGCGCGCGCCGAUUACGUCCCUGCCCUUUGUACACACCGCCCGUCGCUACUACCGAUUGAACGGCUCAGUGAGGCCCCCGGACCGGCGCGGGGGGGCCGGCGACGGCCGCCCCGGGCCGGGAAGCCGGUCGAACUCGGUCGUUUAGAGGAAGUAAAAGUCG
rnacentral:rRNA from 1 species